AAUUUGUAUUUGUUUAUGCACUCUGAUUUUCAGUUCUUUGUGUAUAAAUUUAGCUGUGGGUGGAGUAUCCUGAGCCAGAUUCCUGCCUAUAUGCUAUACGUAAAGGAUUACAGAAAGGCAGACAUGAUUCUGUGUUAGAUUGACAAGGAAUUGCAUUUCCCAGCAAAUGCUGGAUCAGAGCCAUCUGUUUCAGAAAUUAGCAUAGCAGCAAUUUGUUUGUUUGGCUUCAUCUGUCUAUUAGUUUGGUCCAAAUUCUCUUGUUUUGGAGACAUGCUAUCACAUAGGGAAAAGAUCUGUGAUACACUCUGUGCAGGCAACCCCUAAAAUACAUGAAUUAUUCUAAACAGAGGAGAUAUGAAAUGUCGUUGUCAGAAAUCCAGACAAAGCUAAAGUAAGAUUAUUUGUUUUCCUGUAAACAAGUUUGACUUUCUCACAGCACUCUUAUAUUAAAUCAUCUGCCCCCCUUCCCAGUGUCCUAGUCUCGGAGUGCUUCUUUCCUACCCAAAGCCCAAAGUAGUGUUGCUGUACUUUUAGGUGCACUGGAUAUUUUCCUGGUGUUUAUUUUGACAGCAUGAUGGAAAAUCCUUCCUGACUUACAGCCUCUACAACUUCUGAAGAGGUACUGAUACUCUUAAAAACUGAGAAGUCCAGCUGCAAACAACAGUCAGGAAAAGAGCAUCAAUCCAUUAAAUGAUAAGAAAAAUGAGUCGUGUGUUGAAGGCAGUGAAAGUGAGGCGAAGUCUCAGCUCAGAGGACGUGAGUGCUCAUUCUACACCUGCGCUAGAGAUCACCUGUGUUCUCUGUGUCUCUACCUGAGCACCCUGCUCACCACUCUCCUCCCACCGCCCGCCCCGUUCCUUUGUCUCCUCGGAGCCACCAACAAUGGGAUCUGCUUGUUUGGAUUCAGUUUGGAAACCUGGGCUGAAUGGAGGGCGGGAGCUGCCAAUGAGAAGCGCUUACCCAGGUCACUGCUAAAAUCUCAACACCCAGGGCAGAGCUGUGCUCGCAUCACCUGAUGAUGAAACGGCGGCAGCAGCCGAAGUCAGACAGUGACAACAUCUGGUGGCUUCUCUGUGCUGUCAGAGCAGGACGAGGAAAUUGCCCGCUCAGAGGAUGCUUUGUGAAUCGAUACACGGGUAAUGCACACCACGGUGUUUGGAACAAAUAGCAAGUGUCAGAAGUAAAUAGUUCUGUAUUUUAAGCAAUGGAAAGAGAGUGUAAGUGCUUUUCCAGGGUAAGUGUAGAAAGCCAUUACAAAGCUUAUCUUUGCAACUGACCUAUAAAAGUUAUAAACACAUCAAAGGCUUUGAGGACAUCAGAUACAAACUUUAAUUCUUCCCACAGUCAAAACUCCCAUGAAGUCAAUGUCCCAGGAUCACUACUGAGGAGUAUGUUCAGUAAUGCUAAUGGAACUCAGACUUCCAUGGACACCUUCAUUCACAACUGGAAUUUAAUUCAAGUUGCAAUUUAUUAAAUAGUGAUUUCUUGUGAUGAUUUUCUCUCUAAAUCCUUGGAUGUAAGGCAACACAAUUUUUUAGAAUAUAAUUUCUUGGAGGUUUUAUUAUUACGGAAUAAAGAACUUAAAAAUGUA